rnacentral:ncRNA from 2 species
CAAGCAAAAGUAUUGCAACUACUGGCGUAAGCUUAUAGUUGGUACCACAUUACCACAUUACCACUUGUUAAUGUGUGUUACUUUCAUGAGAAAUGCUAAAAUAUAAAAGCCAGAGUGUGGCAGCACUCUAGCUUUUAAAAAAGAAACUACCCUUUAAUAGGAGGGUCCUCGUGUAGACACUUUUCCUUUACAGUAAUGUAAAUAGGAUGAGUGUCUUUUUUUC